rnacentral:rRNA from 1 species
GAUGAACGCUGGCGGCGUGCCUAAUACAUGCAAGUCGAGCGAACAGACGAGGAGCUUGCUCCUCUGACGUUAGCGGCGGACGGGUGAGUAACACGUGGAUAACCUACCUAUAAGACUGGGAUAACUUCGGGAAACCGGAGCUAAUACCGGAUAAUAUAUUGAACCGCAUGGUUCAAUAGUGAAAGACGGUUUUGCUGUCACUUAUAGAUGGAUCCGCGCCGCAUUAGCUAGUUGGUAAGGUAACGGCUUACCAAGGCAACGAUGCGUAGCCGACCUGAGAGGGUGAUCGGCCACACUGGAACUGAGACACGGUCCAGACUCCUACGGGAGGCAGCAGUAGGGAAUCUUCCGCAAUGGGCGAAAGCUUGACGGAGCAACGCCGCGUGAGUGAUGAAGGUCUUCGGAUCGUAAAACUCUGUUAUUAGGGAAGAACAAAUGUGUAAGUACUAUGCACGUCUUGACGGUACCUAAUCAGAAAGCCACGGCUAACUACGUG